rnacentral:rRNA from 1 species
UACGAAGGGUGCAAGCGUUACUCGGAAUUACUGGGCGUAAAGCGCGUGUAGGCGGUCCGGUAAGUCCGCUGUGAAAGUCGGGGGCUCAACCCUCGAAUGCCGGUGGAUACUGUCGGGCUAGAGUGCGGAAGAGGCGAGUGGAAUUCCUGGUGUAGCGGUGAAAUGCGCAGAUAUCAGGAGGAACACCAAUUGCGAAGGCAGCUCGCUGGGACGUAACUGACGCUGAGACGCGAAAGCGUGGGGAGCAAACAGG